GACGAACGCUGGCGGCGUGCUUAACACAUGCAAGUCGAACGGACGAGUGAGAUAAGUUUACUUAACUCACAAGUUAGUGGCGGACGGGUGAGUAACACGUGGAUAAUCUACCUGCAACACCGGGAUAACGCUGUGAAAACGGUGCUAAUACCGGAUACGUUCCCUUGUGCGCAUGUAUGAGGGAAGAAAGCUCAGGCGGUUGCAGAUGAGUCCGCGGCUGAUUAGCUAGUUGGUGAGGUAAAGGCUCACCAAGGCGAUGAUCAGUAGCCGGCCUGAGAGGGUGAACGGCCACACUGGGACUGAGACACGGCCCAGACUCCUACGGGAGGCAGCAGUGGGGAAUCUUCCGCAAUGGGCGCAAGCCUGACGGAGCAACGCCGCGUGGGUGAAGAAGGCCUUCGGGUUGUAAAGCCUGUCUUAUUGGAAGAAGGUCGAGUGACGGUACCGAUAGGAGGAAGCCACGGACAACUACGUAGCCAGCAGCCGCGGUAAAAGGUACUCUA
rnacentral:rRNA from 1 species